rnacentral:misc_RNA from 1 species
CUUCCUGACUUUGCUGAUAAGGUAUUGCACUAAAUUUAGCAUAAGAGACUGCUAGCUUUAGAAGAUUUUUCAGCGGUGAGUGUAUUUUGGUAUAAAUAGGGCACAGGUGUUUAAUGGCUACUAGUUGCUUAUCUGAUGUAUUUUGGUUAUUGUUUAUUUUAGCCUCCUAAAUAUUUUGCUUUCUUGUUACUUGGUGGUGUGGCAUACCUUUUGCUUGUGUUCUUUUCUGUUGGUUGCCUUUCCUUGCCUAUGCAGCAUGUGGAAAGGUCAUCUCUUGGCCAAAUUUCUGUGCAGUGCAACAUUUAUUUGUUUUCUUUACCUUACUAUCAUUUUAUAUUGCUGUGUAAAUUUUAUUUGAUAUGUGUUCUAUUGCAACAUUUUUAUUUCUUUAAUUAUCAGCACUGAACACUAGGUUUCAGGUUCUAAGUAAAUCUUUUUUUUUUUCUUCUUGAUAAAAAAUAAUUUUCUUCUUGGACUUUAUUUUUUCUAAUUAAGAUGGAUUCAAACAAAUUGUGAAUUUGCACUGAGCUUUAAGUUAAAAAGAACAGUAAAAUGAUUGCUCUACUAACUCGAAGGUCUUCACUUGGAUUUUGCGCACUAACACUCCUUUCUAUCAUUGCAUCAUUCAGAGAUGGUUGAAAAGGAGUUUGCUGCCACACUUUUGCAAGUGUCAAUGCUUAGCUGUCCAAAAUCUUGUGGCUCCCUAUUAAAUAAAAUCUUACAUUGUUCUUGUUUAUGUUGGCAAGUCACUGCUUUUUUGGCACUAAAACUUGUUUGCUAGAUUUGCACAAUGCAGAAUCAGAUGGAACCUGCACUUUUUGCGAUGCGUCAGCAUCUCCUAAGCUGAUGAAGUAAUAGGCUUCUUUUUAACUCUUAUCAACACUUUCUGGAAUGCAAAUAGUCAUGUCAGGUUCAAGGAUAAGUUCCUUUGUACUUACAUUUUUAGGAUUUAUAAUCUUAUUUUAUGCUUUAUUCAUUAUACAUUACUUCUCAAUUUGUUUUGUGCUUUGUGGAGGUAAUGGCCUAAUGAUUGAUUCAAUAAAGAUUUGGG